GACGAACGCUGGCGGCGUGCUUAACACAUGCAAGUCGAGCGGAAAGGCUCCUUCGGGGGUACUCGAGCGGCGAACGGGUGAGUAACACGUGAGUAAUCUGCCCUGCGCUCUGGGAUAGCCACCGGAAACGGUGAUUAAUACCGGAUAUGACCGCUACACGCAUGUGUUGGUGGUGGAAAGUUUUUCGGCGCAGGAUGUGCUCGCGGCCUAUCAGCUUGUUGGUGAGGUAAUGGCUCACCAAGGCUUUGACGGGUAGCCGGCCUGAGAGGGUGACCGGUCACACUGGGACUGAGACACGGCCCAGACUCCUACGGGAGGCAGCAGUGGGGAAUAUUGGACAAUGGGCGGAAGCCUGAUCCAGCAACGCCGCGUGAGGGAUGACGGCCUUCGGGUUGUAAACCUCUUUCAGUACCGACGAAGCGAAAGUGACGGUAGGUACAGAAGAAGGACCGGCCAACUACGUGCCAGCAGCCGCAGUAAGAC
rnacentral:rRNA from 1 species